rnacentral:rRNA from 1 species
AAGGAGCAAUUCGCUUGAAGAGGGGUCGCGGCUGAUUAGCUAGUUGGCGGGGUAACGGCCCACCAAGGCGAUGAUCGGUAGCCGGCCUGAGAGGGCGCACGGCCACACUGGAACUGAAACACGGUCCAGACUCUUACGGGAGGCAGCAGUGGGGAAUUUUGCGCAAUGGGGGAAACCCUGACGCAGCAACGCCGCGUGGAGGAUGAAGUCCUUUGGGACGUAAACUCCUUUCGACCGGGACGAUUAUGACGGUACCGGUGGAAGAAGCCCCGGCUAACUUCGUGCCAGCAGCCGCGGUAAUACGAGGGGGGCAAGCGUUGUUCGGAAUUAUUGGGCGUAAAGGGCGCGUAGGCGGUGCG